rnacentral:rRNA from 1 species
GAUGAACGCUGGCGGCGUGCCUAAUACAUGCAAGUCGAGCGAACGGACGAGAAGCUUGCUUCUCUGAUGUUAGCGGCGGACGGGUGAGUAACACGUGGAUAACCUACCUAUAAGACUGGGAUAACUUCGGGAAACCGGAGCUAAUACCGGAUAAUAUUUUGAACCGCAUGGUUCAAAAGUGAAAGACGGUCUUGCUGUCACUUAUAGAUGGAUCCGCGCUGCAUUAGCUAGUUGGUAAGGUAACGGCUUACCAAGGCAACGAUGCAUAGCCGACCUGAGAGGGUGAUCGGCCACACUGGAACUGAGACACGGUCCAGACUCCUACGGGAGGGAGCAGUAGGGAAUCUUCCGCAAUGGGCGAAAGCCUGACGGAGCAACGCCGCGUGAGUGAUGAGGGUCUUCGGAUCGUAAAACUCUGUUAUUAGGGAAGAACAUAUGUGUAAGUGACUGUGCACAUCUUGACGGUACCUAAUCAGAAAGCCACGGCUAACUACGUG